rnacentral:snRNA from 1 species
GUGCUAUCGCUUCGGCAGCACAUAUACUAAAAUUGGAACGAUACAGAGAAGAUUAGCAUGGUCCUGCGC